CCUACGGGUGGCAGCAGUGGGGAAUAUUGGACAAUGGGCGAAAGCCUGAUCCAGCCAUGCCGCGUGUGUGAAGAAGGCCUUCGGGUUGUAAAGCACUUUCAGUGGGGAAGAAAGCCUUGGGGCUAAUACCCUCGAGGAAGGACAUCACCCACAGAAGAAGCACCGGCUAACUCCGUGCCAGCAGCCGCGGUAAUACGGAGGGUGCGAGCGUUAAUCGGAAUUACUGGGCGGAAAGCGCGCGUAGGCGGUCUGAUAAGCCGGUUGUGAAAGCCCCGGGCUCAACCUGGGAACGGCAUCCGGAACUGUCAGGCUAGAGUGCAGGAGAGGAAGGUAGAAUUCCCGGUGUAGCGGUGAAAUGCGUAGAGAUCGGGAGGAAUACCAGUGGCGAAGGCGGCCUUCUGGACUGACACUGACGCUGAGGUGCGAAAGCGUGGGUAGCAAACAGGAUUAGAUACCCUAGUAGUC
rnacentral:rRNA from 1 species